rnacentral:rRNA from 1 species
UACGAAGGGGGCUAGCGUUGCUCGGAAUCACUGGGCGUAAAGGGUGCGUAGGCGGGCCUUUAAGUAAGGGGUGAAAUCCUGGAGCUCAACUCCAGAACUGCCUUUGAUACUGAAGAUCUUGAGUUCGGGAGAGGUGAGUGGAACUGCGAGUGUAGAGGUGAAAUUCGUAGAUAUUCGCAAGAACACCAGUGGCGAAGGCGGCUCACUGGCCCGAUACUGACGCUGAGGCACGAAAGCGUGGGGAGCAAACAGG